GACGAACGCUGGCGGCGUGCUUAACACAUGCAAGUCGAACGGAAAGGCCCUUCUUUUGUGUGGUGCUCGAGUGGCGAACGGGUGAGUAACACGUUAGUAACCUGCCCUUGACUUUGGGAUAACUUCAUGAAACUGGUGCUAAUACCGGAUAGGAGCUCCUGCUGCAUGGUGGGGGUUGGAAAGUUUCGGCGGUUGGGGAUGGACUCGCGGCCUAUCAGCUUGUUGGUGGGGUAGUGGCUUACCAAGGCUUUGACGGGUAGCCGGCCUGAGAGGGUGACCGGCCACACUGGGACUGAGAUACGGCCCAGACUCCUACGGGAGGCAGCAGUGGGGAAUAUUGCACAAUGGGCGGAAGCCUGAUGCAGCAACGCCGCGUGCGGGAUGACGGCCUUCGGGUUGUAAACCGCUUUCGCCUGUGACGAAGCGUGAGUGACGGUAAUGGGUAAAGAAGCACCGGCUAACUACGUG
rnacentral:rRNA from 1 species